rnacentral:rRNA from 1 species
GGCAUGCGAGUGCUAUACAUGCAAGUCGAACGCGCGGAUCAGGAGCUUGCUCCUGUGACGCGAGUGGCGGACGGGUGAGUAACACGUAGGCAACCUGCCCAUCAGACUGGGAUAACCACGGGAAACCGUGGCUAAUACCGGAUAAUCCUUUUCCACACAGGUGGGAAAGUUGAAAGGCGGCUUUUUGUGUGACUGUGGUGUGUGGCUGUGCGGCAUUUUAUGUGUGUGGGGGGAACGCGCCCCCCCAGGGACAAUGUGCAUACGCCCUCUGAGAGGGAGCUCGCACACUGUGACUGUGACACGCGCCCCACACUCCUACGAGAGGCAACAAGAGAAUCUCUUCCAAUGUGCAAAAGAGUGUGACAGAGCCGCCGCGCGAGAGAGAAAAGGGGUCUCGUCUCAAAACUCUGUGGUGUCGGAAAAAAACCCACACGAGAGACUGUGCCCGUCGGGAGACGACCUGUGCCCAAAAACACGCGUAUCUAUACGUGCCAACACGCGCGAAUAUACAUAUGUGAAGAGCGAUAUGCGAUUAUAGUGCGCGUAGAGCGCGCAUACGCGUCGCUAUGUCUGAGAUGAAAACCCCGCGUCUCAGCGGAGAGGCAUAGUGGACUGUGGCACUCGAGAGUGCAGAGAAGAGAGUGAACCUGUGUAUAGCUGAGAUGUGCACAGAUAUAUAGAACACACAGUGGCGACGCGUCUCUGUGCUGUGCUGUGACUGUGAUGCGAAAAGCGUGAUAUCACAGAGUAUAUAUACUGUGGUACUCGCGCAUACGAUGUGAGCGCUAUGUGAUGGGGGUCGCGCCCAUAGCUGUGCUCUAGCGUAACGCACGCGUCGUGAGUACACGCGCGUUAACUCUCAGAGAUGUCGCGACACGCGUACAGCGGUACACUGGUUAUACGCAGCGCGCGCAGAAACUCUCCAACUCUGCAUCUCUUGGACACCUGGAAACAGGUCCUUCUGCCAUGUACAGGUGCCGUGGUUGCUCAAGUCUGGUCGGAAUUUGGUAGUCGGACAGGCAACUACUUAUUGCAAAUCAUUGGAACUUAGGAUUCGGUACCGGAGUGGAUGCCUAACUUGCUAUGGUACGUCAUGAC